CAAAAACAUUGUCUCAUGGAUAAAAUAUGAGAUAAAGCCUGCCCAGUGACACAUAGUUCAACGGCCGCGGUAUCCUAACCGUGCAAAGGUAGCAUAAUCACUUGCCUAUUAAUUGUAGGCUAGAAUGAAAGGGUUAACGAAAUAAAAACUGUCUCAGUUAAUUAUCUAAAAAUUAUUCUCUACUUGAAGAAAAGUAGAUUACCUCGAAGGACAAGAAGACCCUAUAGAGCUUAAUUCUACUCACAGAAACCAAUCUGUGAAAAUAUUCGGUUGGGGCGACCCAGGGCUAAAUAAUCACCCACUCCACAAAGAUUUAUUAAUCAAUUAAAUGACCCUCUAAAGAUCACAAGACCAAGCUACCUUAGGGAUAACAGGCUAAUCCCACUCAAGAGUUCUUAUCAACAGUGGGGAUUGGCACCUCGAUGUUGGCUUAGGGUAUCUAUAUAGCGCAAAAGCUAUAUAAAGAUGGUUUGUUCAACCAAUAACACCCUACGUGAUCUGAG
rnacentral:rRNA from 1 species